rnacentral:rRNA from 1 species
UACAGGGGGGGCAAGCGUUGUUCGGAAUUACUGGGCGUAAAGGGCCAGUAGGCGGCCAACUAAGUCACACGUGAAAUCCCCAGGCUUAACCUGGGAACUGCGUGUGAUACUGGAUGGCUUGAAUUCGGGAGAGGGAUGCAGAAUUCCAGGUGUAGCGGUGAAAUGCGUAGAUAUCUGGAGGAAUACCGGUGGCGAAGGCGGCAUCCUGGACCGAGAUUGACGCUGAAAGGCGAAAGCUAGGGGAGCAAACGGG